rnacentral:miRNA from 1 species
UGUGUGUGUGUGUGUGUGUGUGUGUAUAUAUAUAUAUAUACACACACACACACAUAUAUAUAUACACACACACACACACACACACACACA